CCUACGGGAGGCAGCAGUGGGGAAUAUUGCACAAUGGGGGAAACCCUGAUGCAGCGACGCCGCGUGAGUGAAGAAGUAUUUCGGUAUGUAAAGCUCUAUCAGCAGGAACGAGACAAGACGGUACCUGACUAAGAAGCCCCGGCUAACUACGUGCCAGCAGCCACGGUAAUACGUAGGGGGCAAGCGUUAUCCGGAAUCACUGGGUGGAAAGGGAGCGUAGACGGCUGUGCAAGCCUGAAGUGAAAGGCGGGGGCCCAACCCCUGGACUGCUUUGGGAACUGUACGGCUGGAGUGCAGGAGAGGGAAGUGGAAUUCCUAGUGUAGCGGUGAAAUGCGUAGAUAUUAGGAGGAACACCAGUGGCGAAGGCGGCUUACUGGACUGUAACUGACGUUGAGGCUCGAAAGCGUGGGGAGCAAACAGGAUUAGAUACCCGGGUAGUC
rnacentral:rRNA from 1 species